AGCGAACGCUGGCGGCAGGCUUAACACAUGCAAGUCGAGCGGGCGUAGCAAUACGUCAGCGGCAGACGGGUGAGUAACGCGUGGGAACAUACCUUUUGGUUCGGAACAACACAGGGAAACUUGUGCUAAUACCGGAUAAGCCCUUACGGGGAAAGAUUUAUCGCCGAAAGAUUGGCCCGCGUCUGAUUAGCUAGUUGGUGAGGUAACGGCUCACCAAGGCGACGAUCAGUAGCUGGUCUGAGAGGAUGAUCAGCCACAUUGGGACUGAGACACGGCCCAAACUCCUACGGGAGGCAGCAGUGGGGAAUAUUGGACAAUGGGCGCAAGCCUGAUCCAGCCAUGCCGCGUGAGUGAUGAAGGCCCUAGGGUUGUAAAGCUCUUUUGUGCGGGAAGAUAAUGACGGUACCGCAAGAAUAAGCCCCGGCUAACUUCGUGCCAGCAGCCGCGGUAAU
rnacentral:rRNA from 1 species